rnacentral:misc_RNA from 1 species
UCCGGGUUGGACCCGGCGGUCCCGCCAGACUUGGUAACUGGCGGCGGGGGUUGCGCUCGUUGCGGGACUUAACCCAACACCUCACGGCACGAGCUGACGACAGCCGUGCAGCAUCUGUGCACGCUCCCUUGCGGGUCCUCCCCGUUUCCGGGUCGUACCACGUGCAUGUCAAGCCCAGGUAAGGUUCUUCGCGUUGCGUCGAAUUAAACCACACGCUCCGCUGCUUGUGCGGGCCCCCGUCAAUUCCUUUGAGUUUUAGCCUUGCGGCCGUAGUCCCCAGGCGGCGGACUUACCGCGUUAGCUGCGGCACCGGGGGGGUCGAUACCCCCGACACCCAGUCCGCAUCGUUUACGGCGUGGACUAC